rnacentral:tRNA from 1 species
GGCCCUGUGGUGUAGCGGUCUAACAUGCCGCCCUGUCACGGCGGAGACCGACGGUUCAAAUCCGUUCAGGGUCGCCA